ACGAACGCUGGCGGCGUGCUUCACCCCUGCCAGUCGAACGGUGAAGGGAUCAGCUUGCUGGUUCUGGAUGAGUGGCGAACGGGUGAGUAACACGUGAGUAACCUGCCCCCUUCUUCUGGAUAACCGCAUGAAAGUGUGGCUAAUACGGGAUAUUCUGCGCCUGCUGCAUGGUGGGUGUGGGAAAGAUAUUGUUUCGGUGGGGGAUGGGCUCGCGGCCUAUCAGCUUGUUGGUGGGGUGAUGGCCUACCAAGGCGGUGACGGGUAGCCGGCCUGAGAGGGUGGACGGUCACACUGGGACUGAGACACGGCCCAGACUCCUACGGGAGGCAGCAGUGGGGAAUAUUGCACAAUGGGCGCAAGCCUGAUGCAGCGACGCCGCGUGAGGGAUGGAGGCCUUCGGGUUGUGAACCUCUUUCGCCAGUGAAGCAGGCCUGUCCCUUGUGGGUGGGUUGACGGUAGCUGGAUAAGAAGCGCCGGCUAACUACGUG
rnacentral:rRNA from 1 species